AUGGUCGCGCUGAGGUGAGGGUAGGGAGUGCUGGGGCCAGAGAACAGGAAAGAGAGUCUCCAGAGGCCCAGAGGUGAAACUGGGGGUGGGGGGAGAGGAAGUAGAGGGGGGAGAGGUGGGACACAGAGAUAGGCACAGGAGCUGAGGGUAAAGACAGAGGGAAAGAGUGAGAAGAUGGAGGGCAAAGAAAGAACAAAACAAAAGUGAAAAAGCUGUGGGCCAAGUGGGGGUGGGGUCGUGGCCCUGAGAGGAAGAAUAGAGAUUCAGGGCAAAGCGGCGGGAGUCAGAUUUGGCAGCGCAGGGUUAAUGGUAUCAGAGACAGUCCCGAGGAUGUGAGAGAAGAGAAGAGCGGAAAAAGUCGGAAUGAGAGGAGAGAGGGGGAGACCGGGAGGUGGUGGGGGGGAGGUGUUAGGGUUCAGGCGAGGCUUCCCCACCGUUACCCCGAGGCGGUUAGAGUGGGAAGGGAGAUCAGGGAAUCCCGCCCGAGAGGGGGUGGGGCGGGGAGUGGAGAGGUCUAGGGGAGCAGGGGAAUCAGGGGGCAGAGGGGAAAUGGAGCUCCGCGGGAG